rnacentral:rRNA from 1 species
GACGAACGCUGGCGGCGUGCCUAAUACAUGCAAGUCGACCUUAGUGGCGAACGGGCGAGUAACACGUGGGUCACCUGCCCAUCAGAAGGGGUUAACACUUGGAAACUGGUGCUAAUACCGUAUACUGAUGGAUGGACCCGCGUUGCAUUAGCUAGUUGGUGAGGUGACGGCUGACCAAGGCCACGAUGCAUAGCCGACCUGAGAGGGUGAUCGGCCACAUUGGGACUGAGACACGGCCCAAACUCCUACGGGAGGCAGCAGUAGGGAAUCGUAGGCAAUGGACGAAAGGCUAACCGAGCAACGCCGCGUGGGUGAAAGAGGUUUUCGGAUCGUAAAACUCUGUUGUUAGAGAAGCGGUAUCUGACCAGAAAGCCACGGCUAACUACGUGCCAGCAGCCGCGGUAAUUC